rnacentral:rRNA from 1 species
UGGGGAAUAUUGCACAAUGGGCGCAAGCCUGAUGCAGCCAUACCGCGUGUGUGAAGAAGGCCUUAGGGUUGUAAAGCACUUUCAGUCGUGAGGAAAGGGGUGUAGUUAAUACCUGCAUCCUGUGACGUUAGCGACAGAAGAAGCACCGGCUAAUUCCGUGCCAGCAGCCGCGGUAAUACGGAAGGUGCGAGCGUUAAUCGGAAUUACUGGGCGUAAAGCGCGCGUAGGUGGUUCAGUCAGUCAGAUGUGAAAGCCCCGGGCUCAACCUGGGAACUGCACCUGAUACUGCUGGACUUGAGUACGGUAGAGGGUAGUGGAAUUUCCUGUGUAGCGGUGAAAUGCGUAGAUAUAGGAAGGAACACCAGUGGCGAAGGCGACUACCUGGACCGAUACUGACACUGAGGUGCGAAAGCGUGGGGAGCAAACAGGAUUAGAUACCCCCGUAGUCC